GAGGUGUCCUGGUGGAGAAGUGUCCUGGUGGACAGGCAUCCUGCCAAAGAGGUGUCCUGCUGGAGAGGUGUCCCAGCACAGAGUUUCCAGAUCAGCCUCGAGGAUGAAGACGUCCUGCUCACCCAAUAUUGUGCAGCGUGUUUUGCAGUUGCCUGAAGAAGAAGCCAGGGCAAAGAAAAGUGCCCCAUUUCCUGCAGACAGCCUCUGCUGGACUUGAAACUGCCCAUCCUGGAGCUUCUUCCAAUGGAGUUGCAUCCUACAAGUAUGGAUGCCGUGAAGAGCCAUGGACCCCUCUCCUGAGGCAGCCUUGCCACAAGAGACCACCCUCCCUUGUUCCUGUGAUCAUCAAGAUCUGUUCUGUAUAUAUCUGUAUGAAGUUUCUAGAUCUGUCUGUGUGACUCCCCUUUCCGUGUUGCAGUAAACCUGUUCCAGUUUGAAUUUCCAA